ACUACGGGAGGCAGCAGUGAGGAAUAUUGGUCAAUGGGCGGAAGCCUGAACCAGCCAAGUAGCGUGCAGGAUGACGGCCCUACGGGUUGUAAACUGCUUUUAUACGGGAAUAACGCGCCUUACGUGUAGGGCUUUGCAUGUACCGUAUGAAUAAGGACCGGCUAAUUCCGUGCCAGCAGCCGCGGUAAUACGGAAGGUCCGGGCGUUAGCCGGAUUUAUUGGGUUUAAAGGGAGCGUAGGCCGCAUGUCAAGCGUGCUGUGAAAUGUCCGGGCUCAACCCGGGCCUUGCAGCGCGAACUGGCGUGCUUGAGUCCGCGGAAAGCAGGCGGAAUUCGUCGUGUAGCGGUGAAAUGCUUAGAUAUGACGAAGAACCCCGAUUGCGAAGGCAGCUUGCUGCAGCGGAACUGACGCUGAUGCUCGAAAGCGCGGGUAUCGAACAGGAUUAGAUACCCUGGUAGUC
rnacentral:rRNA from 1 species